rnacentral:lncRNA from 1 species
UUCUAUAAAUAGGAUGCUUAGUUAGAAUUGAAAACACACCAGAAUUUUCAGAGAAUUCUCUUCUAUAAUCUUGAGCGUAUUUCUUUAGAGUUUAAGAAAGCUUUGAGCGUAGUGCAAGUUUUCUUCAAGUAUAUCCUCGCCCUACCUAUCAGAGUACCCUUCUUUAUAAUGUAAGGGGCAUUAUUUCUUUUUGUAUUUAUGAAGAGAACUUUUGUUAUUCUAUUCUUUAUUAUUCUGCUGGAAUAUCUAGUAAACGCGGACUACCCUAUACUUGGUGACAUUCUUCUAAUAUUCCAUCUUUAUUAUUAUUCUGUUGGAAUAUCCUGUAUCUGCGUUUUACACCGGACCUAGUUCCGUCUUUAUUAUUAUUCUGUUGGAAUAUCCUGUCUGUGCGUUUUACGUCA